rnacentral:rRNA from 1 species
AUUGAACGCUGGCGGCAUGCCUUACACAUGCAAGUCGAACGGUAACAGGUCUUCGGAUGCUGACGAGUGGCGAACGGGUGAGUAAUACAUCGGAACGUGCCUAGUAGUGGGGGAUAACUACUCGAAAGAGUGGCUAAUACCGCAUGAGAUCUACGGAUGAAAGCAGGGGAUCGCAAGACCUUGUGCUACUAGAGCGGCCGAUGGCAGAUUAGGUAGUUGGUGGGAUAAAAGCUUACCAGGCCGAAGAUCUGUAGCUGGUCUGAGAGGACGAUCAGCGACACUGGGACUGAGAAACGGCCCAGACUCCUACGGGAGGCAGCAGUGGGGAAUUUUUGACAAUGGGCGCAAGCCUGAUCCAGCAAUGCCGCGUGCAGGAUGAAGGCCUUCGGGUUGUAAACUGCUUUUGUACGGAACGAAAAGCCCCGGGUUAAUACCCUGGGGUCAUGACGGUACCGUAAGAAUAAGCACCGGCUAACUACGUGCCAGCCGCCGCCGUAA